GAUGAACGCUGGCGGCGUGCCUAAUACAUGCAAGUCGAGCGAAUGGAUUAAGAGCUUGCUCUUAUGAAGUUAGCGGCGGACGGGUGAGUAACACGUGGGUAACCUGCCCAUAAGACUGGGAUAACUCCGGGAGACCGGGGCUAAUACCGGAUAACAUUUUGAACCGCAUGGUUCGAAAUUGAAAGGCGGCUUCGGCUGUCACUUAUGGAUGGACCCGCGUCGCAUUAGCUAGUUGGUGAGGUAACGGCUCACCAAGGCAACGAUGCGUAGCCGACCUGAGAGGGUGAUCGGCCACACUGGGACUGAGACACGGCCCAGACUCCUACGGGAGGCAGCAGUAGGGAAUCUUCCGCAAUGGACGAAAGUCUGACGGAGCAACGCCGCGUGAGUGAUGAAGGCUUUCGGGUCGUAAAACUCUGUUGUUAGGGAAGAACAAGUGCUAGUUGAAUAAGCUGACACCUUGACGGUACCUAACCAGGAAGCCACGGCUAACUACGUGCCAGCCGCCGCGGUAA
rnacentral:rRNA from 1 species